rfam:Haemophilus influenzae Rd KW20, complete genome.
AUAUCUGUUACUAUACGCACAUCUGUUAAGCGAUUGCAGGUUGCUCCAACAGGUAGAGUAGAAAGUAAAUUCGUUAGGGUUCAAAAAGGCUGAAGGUUUAAACUUCAGCCUUUUUU